rnacentral:rRNA from 1 species
GACAGAGGGUGCAAACGUUGCUCGGAAUCACUGGGCGUAAAGGGCGCGUAGGCGGCGCGGGUAGUCAUCGGUGAAAGUUCAGGGCUCAACUCUGAAUCGGCCGGUGAUACUCCCGUGCUCGAGCACUGUAGAGGCAGGUGGAAUUCCGGGUGUAGCGGUGGAAUGCGUAGAGAUCCGGAAGAACACCGGUGGCGAAGGCGGCCUGCUGGGCAGUGAGCUGACGCUGAUGCGCGACAGCGUGGGGAGCAAACAGG